rfam:Spirochaeta thermophila DSM 6578, complete genome.
UGUCAGGCCCUGUAUGACGUGAGCGCUCCGAACCCCGUCAGGUCCGGGAGGAAGCAGCGGUAGGAGCUGCUCCCGUGUGUACGGUACGCCUGGCAGGU